AGAGUUUGAUCCUGGCUCAGAAUGAACGCUGGCGGCGUGCUUUACACAUGCAAGUCGAGCGAGGCGUCCCGCAAGGGAUAGUCGAGCGGCGAACGGGUGAGUAACGCGUGGAUUAUCUGCCCUGAGGUGGGGGAUAACCCGGGGAAACUCGGGCUAAUACCGCAUAUGACCGUGAGGUCAAAGGGGGGUCGCAAGAUCUCUCGCCAUAGGAGGAGUCCGCGUCCGAUUAGCUAGUUGGUAGGGUAAUGGCCUACCAAGGCGACGAUCGGUAGCCGGCCUGAGAGGGUGAUCGGCCACACUGGAACUGAGACACGGUCCAGACUCCUACGGGAGGCAGCAGUGGGGAAUUUUGCGCAAUGGGCUAACGCCUGACGCAGCAACGCCGCGUGGAGGAUGAAGGUCCUUGGAUUGUAAACUCCUGUCAGCAGGGAAAAAGCGACUUAGCCUAAUACGCUAGGGAGUUGAUUGUACCUGCAGAGGAAGCCCCGGCUAACUCUGUGCCAGCAGCCGCGGUAAUACAGAGGGGGCAAGCGUUAUUCGGAAUUAUUGGGCGUAAAGGGCGCGUANGCGGCUUGGCAAGUGGAAGGUGAAAUCCCUCNGCUUAACCGAGGAACUGCCCUCCAAACUGCUUCGCUUGANACCGGGAGAGGUGAGUGGAAUUCCCAGUGUANCGGUGAAAUGCGUA
rnacentral:rRNA from 1 species